rnacentral:piRNA from 2 species
UGGAAAGCCCCUGGAGCUUAGCUGGCUCA